rnacentral:rRNA from 1 species
GACGUUAGUCUGCAGAAGAAGCACCGGCUAACUCCGUGCCAGCAGCCGCGGUAAUACGGAGGGUGCGAGCGUUAAUCGGAAUUACUGGGCGUAAAGCGCAUGCAGGUGGUUGUUAAGUCAGAUGUGAAAGCCCGGGGCUCAACCUCGGAAUUGCAUUUGAAACUGGCAAACUAGAGUACUGUAGAGGGGGUAGAAUUUCAGGUGUAGCGGUGAAAAUGCGUAGAGAUCUGAAGGAAUACCGGUGGCGAAGGCGGCCCCCUGGACAGAUACUGACACUCAGAUGCGAAAGCGUGGGGAGCAAACAGGAUUAGAUACCCUGGUAG